rnacentral:rRNA from 1 species
GUCCACGCUGUAAACGAUGGGCACUAGGUGUGGGGGGUGUCGACUCCCCCCGUGCCGGCGCUAACGCAUUAAGUGCCCCGCCUGGGGAGUACGGCCGCAAGGCUAAAACUCAAAGGAAUUGACGGGGGCCCGCACAAGCAGCGGAGCAUGUGGUUUAAUUCGACGCAACGCGAAGAACCUUACCUGGGUUUGACAUGUUGGUGACCGGUGUGGAAACACACCUUUCCUUCGGGACACCAUCACAGGUGGUGCAUGGCUGUCGU